UAAAUCACAUUUUAUGUUACACUUGCCAGCAGAAGGACAUACGGGACCAGUGGAGAUGUUGAGGGGUUAUAAGAGAAUAUUUAGUGUGACAGCAGAAAUAAAGGUCAUUAUAAAGGUCAGUUCCAGCACUGCAAGGUUAUUCAUGAGUGUAAGUGAAUUCAACACAUGCACGCCACAGGAUACUGACCCUCUCUACGUCCUGUAUAUAGGUCCAGUUCAGAGUUUAAUUAUGUAUACAGCGCCGGCAGUCAUUCCAAGGGCAAUGAUUCUGUCACAGAUGUAUGUAAAUGUUGAUUUUAUGCAUCCUUGCUUUCACCACAGGUUUACAUCAGGGUCCAGCAUCCAUACCGAACCGACUCUAAAGUUCAGCCUAAACCCUGUGGAAAAUAAAACAGCGACGAUGUCAAGUGACAGGAAAUCAAUCACUGAACGAUACCACUGGCAAACACUGCAGAAGGACGAUUUCUCAGACUGUCCAUCAUCACGGUCUGUUCAAACAUGUCUCAUGUCGGUGAUGCCAGAAGUGUCAUGCUUGUUCAAACCAAGCACAUGUGAGCGUGCAUUUUAAAGGAAUAGUUUACCCAAAAUGAAAAUUUGUACUCACCCUCAGGCCGUUCAGAUUUAUUCAGCCUUAGGCCAUGCGAAAUGAAGAUGAGUUUGUCAUAACAGAUUUGUGGAAAUUUAACAUUACAUCACUUGCUCACCGAUGGAUCCAGUGAAUGGGUGCCAUCAGAAUGAGAGUCCAAACAGCUGAUAAAAACAUCACAAUAAUGUAACUAAUCAUGAUCUGCGUGUUAAGACUUUAUUUUUUUUAUUUUUUUUACUUCAAACCCUUGCUUCCAGCUGAAAAUAUGUGUUCUGUGUUUAUAAUGUUGUUUUAUCUGGUGAAAAUGUUUUGUCUGAAUCAGGAGAGAAAUAUGCACAAGAACAUGCAAAAACAGUUCUAAAUUGGCAAACUUUUUCUUUAAGAAACUUUUUCACUGGCAGAAGCCCUAUUAUGGAUUUU